GUUUCAUUUAUUAAUGAACAUGGUGAGGAGAAUUGAUGGUGGUGGAAUUUUCAAGGAUUUCAUGGAAAAUAUUACUCGAGCGGCUUUUGAUGUGCAGUACGGUCUCUUCAAGGAGACUGCUGAUCAUCUUUUGUACCCAAACCCAGGAUCAGGAUUGGUUCAUGAACUACAUCUGCAAUAUUUCCAUU